rnacentral:rRNA from 1 species
GAUGAACGCUAGCGGGAGGCCUAACACAUGCAAGCCGAGCGGUAGAGAUCUUUCGGGAUCUUGAGAGCGGCGUACGGGUGCGGAACACGUGUGCAACCUGCCUUUAUCUGGGGGAUAGCCUUUCGAAAGGAAGAUUAAUACCCCAUAAUAUGUUGGAUGGCAUCAUUCGACAUUGAAAACUCCGGUGGAUAGAGAUGGGCACGCGCAAGAUUAGAUAGUUGGUGAGGUAACGGCUCACCAAGUCUGCGAUCUUUAGGGGGCCUGAGAGGGUGAUCCCCCACACUGGUACUGAGACACGGACCAGACUCCUACGGGAGGCAGCAGUGAGGAAUAUUGGACAAUGGGUGAGAGCCUGAUCCAGCCAUCCCGCGUGAAGGACGACGGCCCUAUGGGUUGUAAACUUCUUUUGUAUAGGGAUAAACCUACUCUCGUGAGAGUAGCUGAAGGUACUAUACGAAUAAGCACCGGCUAACUCCGUGCCAGCAGCCGCGGUAAUACGGAGGGUGCAAGCGUUAUCCGGAUUUAUUGGGUUUAAAGGGUCCGUAGGCGGAUCUGUAAGUCAGUGGUGAAAUCUCACAGCUUAACUGUGAAACUGCCAUUGAUACUGCAGGUCUUGAGUGUUGUUGAAGUAGCUGGAAUAAAUAGUGUAGCGGUGAAAUGCAUAGAUAUUACUUAGAACACCAAUUGCGAAGGCAGGUUACUAAGCAACAACUGACGCUGAUGGACGAAAGCGUGGGGAGCGAACAGGAUUAGAUACCCUGGUAGUCCACGCCGUAAACGAUGCUAACUCGUUUUUGGGCUUUCGGGUUCAGAGACUAAGCGAAAGUGAUAAGUUAGCCACCUGGGGAGUACGAACGCAAGUUUGAAACCCAAAGGAAUUGACGGGGGCCCGCACAAGCGGUGGAUUAUGUGGUUUAAUUCGAUGAUACGCGAGGAACCUUACCAAGGCUUAAAUGGGAAAUGACAGGUUUAGAAAUAGACUUUUCUUCGGACAUUUUUCAAGGUGCUGCAUGGUUGUCGUCAGCUCGUGCCGUGAGGUGUUAGGUUAAGUCCUGCAACAAGCGCAACCCCUGUCACUAGUUGCCAUCAUUAAGUUGGGGACUCUAGUGAGACUGCCUACGCAAGUAGAGAGGAAGGUGGGGAUGACGUCAAAUCAUCACGGCCCUUACGCCUUGGGCCACACACGUAAUACAAUGGCCGGUACAGAGGGCAGCUACACAGCGAUGUGAUGCAAAUCUCGAAAGCCGGUCUCAGUUCGGAUUGGAGUCUGCAACUCGACUCUAUGAAGCUGGAAUCGCUAGUAAUCGCGCAUCAGCCAUGGCGCGGUGAAUACGUUCCCGGGCCU